UACGUAGGCGGAAAAUUAAGUCAGUAGUGAAAUCUCGCAGCUUAACUGUGGAACUGUUAUUGAUACUGGUUUUCUUGAAUAUAGUUGAGGUAGGCGGAAUGUGUAAUGUAGCGGUGAAAUGCUUAGAUAUUACACAGAACACCGAUUGCGAAGGCAGCUUACUAAGCUAUGAUUGACGCUGAGGUACGAAAGCGUGGGGAGCGAACAGGAUUAGAUACCCUGGUAGUCC
rnacentral:rRNA from 1 species